CGCUGGCGGCGUGCCUAACACAUGCAAGUCGAGCGAGGAGAUUCCUCGGGAUGAUCCUAGCGGCGGACGGGUGAGUAACACGUGGGCAACCUGCCUCAUAGAGAGGAAUAGCCUUCCGAAAGGGAGAUUAAUACCUCAUAACAUUGCAGUUUCGCAUGGAACAGCAAUUAAAGGAGCAAUCCGCUAUGAGAUGGGCCCGCGGCGCAUUAGGCUAGUUGGUGAGGUAACGGCUCACCAAGGCGACGAUGCGUAGCCGACCUGAGAGGGUGAUCGGCCACAUUGGGACUGAGACACGGCCCAGACUCCUACGGGAGGCAGCAGUGGGGAAUAUUGCACAAUGGGGGAAACCCUGAUGCAAGCAACGCCGCGUGAGUGAUGACGGCCUUCGGGUUGUAAAGCUCUGUCUUCAGGGACGAUAAUGACGGUACCUGAGGAGGAAGCCACGGCUAACUACGUGCCAGCAGCGGC
rnacentral:rRNA from 1 species